rnacentral:piRNA from 1 species
GAACAAGAAUUGCAUAAGCAUUCACCC